UUGAUUCUUUAGGUCACGGUAGCCCUAUCUGGAGUAUUUUCUAGUCCUUACCUGUUCACAGCCUGCUUUAAAUUAGUCAAAAGGCAGCACCUUAAGGUUCCCUGAAACAUCUUAGAUACACAGCUCAUAGGCAGAUGGGACUUGCCUUGUCUCAGAUGAGACCUUGGACUGUGGACUUCUGAGUUAAUGCUGAAAUGAAUUAAGACUUUGGGGGACUAUUGGUAAG
rnacentral:lncRNA from 1 species